rnacentral:misc_RNA from 1 species
GAUGAAGAACGUAGCGAAAUGUGAUAAGUAGUGUGAAUUGCAGAAUUCAGUGAAUCAUCGAAUCUUUGAACGCACAUUGCGCCCUUUGGUAUUCCUUAGGGCAUGCCUGUUCGAGCGUCAUCUAAACCUUCAAGCCCUGCUUGGUGUUGGGUGCCUGUCCCGCCUCCGCGCGUGGACUCACCUCAAAUCCAUUGGCGGCCCCCGCGUCGGCCACGAGCGCAGCAGAAACGCGAACUCGUGAGCCCGUCCGGGCGGCUCCCAGAAGCUAACCCCCAAUUUUUGACCUCGGAUCAGGUAGGGAUACCCGCUGAACUUAAGCAUAUCAAUAAGCGGAGGA